rnacentral:piRNA from 1 species
AGUUAGAAUAUUUAAACACAGGAGGAUAG